rnacentral:rRNA from 1 species
GUGCCAGCAGCCGCGGUAAUACGAAGGGUGCAAACGUUGCUCGGAAUCAUUGGGCGUAAAGCGCACGUAGGCGGCCUCAAAAGUUGGAUGUGAAAUCCCUCGGCUCAACCGAGGACGUGCAUCCAGAACUGUGGGGCUUGAGUACUGAAGAGGAUCGCGGAAUUCCCGGUGUAGAGGUGAAAUUCGUAGAUAUCGGGAGGAACACCAGUGGCGAAGGCGGCCACCUGGACGGUAACUGACGCUGAGACGCGAAAGCGUGGGGAGCAAACAGGAUUAGAUACCCCGGUAGUCC